AAAGAUGGUUCUGCUAUCACUCUUGGAUGGACCUGCGGUGCAUUAGCUAGUUGGUAAGGUAACGGCUUACCAAGGCAAUGAUGCAUAGCCGAGUUGAGAGACUGAUCGGCCACAUUGGGACUGAGACACGGCCCAAACUCCUACGGGAGGCAGCAGUAGGGAAUCUUCCACAAUGGACGCAAGUCUGAUGGAGCAACGCCGCGUGAGUGAAGAAGGGUUUCGGCUCGUAAAGCUCUGUUGGUAGUGAAGAAAGAUAGAGGUAGUAACUGGCCUUUAUUUGACGGUAAUUACUUAGAAGGUCACGGCUAACUACGUGCCAGCAGCCGCGGUAAUACGUAGGUGGCAAGCGUUGUCCGGAUUUAUUGGGCGUAAAGCGAGUGCAGGCGGUUCAAUAAGUCUGAUGUGAAAGCCUUCGGCUCAACCGGAGAAUUGCAUCAGAAACUGUUGAACUUGAGUGCAGAAGAGGAGAGUGGAACUCCAUGUGUAGCGGUGGAAUGCGUAGAUAUAUGGAAGAACACCAGUGGCGAAGGCGGCUCUCUGGUCUGCAACUGACGCUGAGGCUCGAAAGCAUGGGUAGCGAACAGGAUUAGAUACCCUGGUAGUCCAUGCCGUAAACGAUGAGUGCUAAGUGUUGGGAGGUUUCCGCCUCUCA
rnacentral:rRNA from 1 species